ACACCGGUGUCGAUAUUCACGGUUUUCUCCGUGGAGCGGCGCCCGAAUUAGACUAUUCGACACGACCGCAAUUUUUCAACUUUGACCUCAAUUUACAGCAAAAUUACAAAAGCUAUACGAUUCCUGUUGGGUUCAAUAAAUUCCGUGGACUUUAACUAAUACAUUGAUAUACAACAGUUUGUCAAUAUCAAUUUGCAUAUAUCUAUAAAUGUUAAGUAAAGCUGGCGGGACCAGCUUUGGCCCUAAUUUUGUACUCUUUUCGAUUUUUCUCAAAAAUGUUAAGUUACGUAAAAUGGACUGACAAAAGGUCAGUAUGUAUGCUAGCUACUUCCAAAAAUCAUAGAUGUGUUAUUGUUCAGAGGAAAAAUAGUAAAUUGAAGCCAAACACUGUUUUUUCUUUUAUAAUGAUGCUAAAAAGGGGUUUGAUCUAUCCGAUCAGAUGUCAUCUUAUUAUAGUUGUUUGAGCGGAACUAUAAAAUGGUAUAAAAAAAUUGUAAUGGAAU